CACAGCAGUCACUGAACAGAUACUGACGUCAUACGAAGAGUGCAGAUGGGACAAUACGGCCGACAGAAGUUUUAAAUAUCUGGAGUGCGGAUAAAUUUUUACUGAUCCUCGCAUAGGAAUCUGUAAUCUUAAUACGUCACUCAAAUUUCCACCUACGAAGAAAAUGAGAAGGACAUUUAGAACUGGAACAAAUUUCAUUUUAUUAUGAAAUUGGUAUUACUUACCAAAUCCUACCGUUCCCCAUCCAGCAACCAAAGGAUGGAAAUUCUCGAAGUUUUUAUUUCGUAAGGGCUGGUCUAUGGGGAGACAAAUAGGUCGUAUGUGCUCUGAAAAGUAAGGAAAUAAAUCAUAGUGAAGAAAACGAGAGACGACAUGUAUAAGGAAGAAUUCUACACGUUUUAUAAUACAAUAUACAUAUACAGAUGGGCUCCGUCAUCAUCUCGUCCUAGAUCUAAGUCCCCGAUACGAACUACGUACAAUCCAAAAAUUUCUACGCAAUGUGCUGCGGUCAAAACAUGCCUAGCCGAUAUCAGGGAACCUCCGCAGCCCCAUAGCGGUUCCCCAUUUGGGUCAUCGCAAUCAAUAUAACCUAAUGCAGCGAUCCAUGGCCAAGCACCUGAAAUGCAAUAGACAUAGUUACGCAGAUGUAUAAUUUUCUCUCGCCUAAUGAGUUAAACGGUAUUAUUAUGCAUUCGAUAUUCGAUCAUGCAAAGGACGAUAAGUACAUACGUACAAAUACUCUCAAAUAGAGAUGACUUUAAUGUAAUAACAAUUAUUAGAUAAUUCUAUAUAAUUUCUACUUGAAUUAUACGGAACUCUAAAGUUCAAGCAUAUAA